UGCCCUGGGAAGGAAGGGGUUAUUCCAGCAGGAAGACCCAGGGCUCCGCUUGUUUCUUCAGCCAGCUUGAGAAAACAGGACUGGGCUGGCUUGGCAGGACCAGGAGGGCCAGCAGCACCUGCCCGUGGGAGGGCUCACAGGAAGGCUGGAGAAGCAACCCACACCAGAAUGGUGUGGCCACAGCACCAGCAAAUCUCUGGAGGAAAACUGCCAAACUAGGCUCCAGGUCCGGGACCCAGCUGUGACCUUGAGGACACACGAAGUCCACAGGUCCGACGGGUCCACAGGUCCGACAGCCAAGGACUGUAGUGACCCGAGCGCUAGAUCCAGAGGUGGGACAGCUCCCGCACCGCGCGCGCAGGGGGAGCAAGGGAUGCCGCCUAAGGAGGUAGACAGAGGAAGGCGGCGGACAGACAGACACGUUCCUAAAACCAACCAACGCACGCGGAGCUUCGAGCAGCAAGGACCAGGCCUGGAACAAAACCGAGGGUGGGACC